AUGAUACGAGCCGUAGUGGUGGGGAAAAAAGGUGAUACAUGCGAUAUUGUUGGGCAAAAAAGUGCCGGAUUGCAUGACCCGGCGCAUACGAAAGGGCAACAUGCGAAAUAUGUGACUUGAAACGGAACGAGAAAAUAACUUAAAUACUAUAACGUACUUUAUGAAAAAGCGUAAAAGAUGGAAAAAAAUUGUGAUAUUAGGUCGAGUCUUGAAAACCAUAACAGGCUCACACCAAACUCUCUGAGAUCCGUUACGUGAGAUGUAAAUCAAGCUCACCGCAUGGGGUCCGACAGACCGAUCACCAACGUGUGACAACUUUUUCAGAUAAAUCAAGUUUGAGAUUGAACCCGAGUCAUUUCUCAAACCCCCGUCUCUUAAAACAAACAACGCGUAAAUCGUAAGUCAAAAAUGCAAAGUGUUGACUAAUCUUAGUUUAUAAAGUUCAUCCUUUUAUCCUUCCGUUCAUAUUUUCCUCUUUUGAGACUUCCGAGUUGUCUUCUUUCCAAAAUCCAAGCUCCUGCAUAUCUUGUUUUGCCAUCAAAUUCCUAAAAAAACAAAGAUUUUAUAAGUUUGAUUCUGAACAACUUAUAAGAAUUGCAGGCGUCUACUUCAUAAACAUAGAUCGAUCGGUUUUUUCUUGAACCUAAAAAAAAUCAGUUUCUUCGUUCGGUUAUCUACUUAACCAACUAACAGUUAUACAAUUAUACGAUGACGGAACCAGAACUUUUCAACUGAGGAUCAUAAUGGAAAUUUCCUUUUUUACAAUCGUGUCAACGGUUUUACUAGCCACAAUUUGGGUGUCAAACUUCAGAUGACGCUAGAUACCCCUGUUAAUAGAAAAUUUUGUGACUUGUGUUAGAUAUGUAGGCUUUGCAGGAAUGUAGGAACAGAACACUAACUUUGCCAUUCGACAUUCCAAGUAUUUCUUUGAAAAACUUCUACAUAUCUCGGAUUUAUGCCCUGAAGUUUUCAGACAGCCUAUAUAUUCUUUCUUCUCCUAUACAUAGCAAAUUUACACAAAAGAGUUAAUCAAAAGUUAGAAGGAUUGAUCAAUGAUCAUAUAAACUACUUGUGGGAUACUAACUUCUAGAGGUGGCAAAAACAGGCAUGUCACUCUUGUUGGGUAACGGGUAACAAAUAAAGAAGAGUUCGGGUCGAAACGCACAACCUUUUGUACAGGUUGAAAUGAGUGAGGCUAGGUUAAGCCAGAGCACGUUUUGUCCAAUAUGUUAUAAUUUUUUUUUAAAAUUUUGAGUGUUAAAAUUAGUUAAAAAAUUGAUAUAACUUACUAAAAGU
rnacentral:lncRNA from 1 species